GUGAAGUAGAAAAAAAAGGAGAGACGAAUGCAAAAGAGCAUGAUUCAAGGAUUAGAGAAAUCAGUGACUCAUUAAAAAGGAACAACAUCAGAAUCAUAGGGGUCCAAGAAGAUGAAGAGAGA